CCUACGGGAGGCAGCAGUGGGGAAUUUUGGACAAUGGGCGAAAGCCUGAUCCAGCCAUGCCGCGUGAGUGAAGAAGGCCUUCGGGUUGUAAAGUUCUUUUAGUCGGAAAGAAAGAGUUGCAAUGAAUAAUUGUGAUUUAUGACGGUACCGACAGAAGAAGCACCGGCCUAACUACGUGCCAACAGCCGCGGUAAUACGUAGGGUGCGAGCGUUAAUCGGAAUUACUGGGCGUAAAGGGUGCGCAGGCGGUCUUGCAAGUCAGAUGUGAAAGCCCCGGGCUUGACCUGGGAAUUGCGUUUGAAACUACAAGGCUAGAGUGCAGCAGAGGGGAGUGGAAUUCCAUGUGUAGCAGUGAAAUGCGUAGAGAUGUGGAAGAACACCGAUGGCGAAGGCAGCUCCCUGGGUCGACACUGACGCUCAUGCACGAAAGCGUGGGGAGCAAACAGGAUUAGAUACCCUGGUAGUCCACGCCCUAAACGAUGUCAACUAGUUGUCGGAUCUAAUUAAGGAUUUGGUAACGUAGCUAACGCGUGAAGUUGACCGCCUGGGGAGUACGGUCGCAAGAUUAAAACUCAAAGGAA
rnacentral:rRNA from 1 species